GAUGAACGCUGGCGGCGUGCCUAAUACAUGCAAGUCGAACGCUUCACUUCGGUGAAGAGUGGCGAACGGGUGAGUAAUACAUAAGUAACCUGGCAUCUACAGGGGGAUAACUGAUGGAAACGUCAGCUAAGACCGCAUAGGUGUAGAGAUCGCACGAACUCUAUAUGAAAAGUGCUACGGGACUGGUAGAUGAUGGACUUAUGGCGCAUUAGCUUGUUGGUAGGGUAACGGCCUACCAAGGCGACGAUGCGUAGCCGACCUGAGAGGGUGACCGGCCACACUGGGACUGAGACACGGCCCAGACUCCUACGGGAGGCAGCAGUAGGGAAUUUUCGGCAAUGGGGGAAACCCUGACCGAGCAACGCCGCGUGAAGGAAGAAGUAAUUCGUUAUGUAAACUUCUGUCAUAGAGGAAGAACGGUGGAUAUAGGGAAUGAUAUCCAAGUGACGGUACUCUAUAAGAAAGCCACGGCUAACUACCUG
rnacentral:rRNA from 1 species